UACGGGGGGAGCAAGCGUUGUUCGGAUUUACUGGGCGUAAAGGGCGCGUAGGCGGCCACCGCAAGUCAGUUGUGAAAUCUCUGGGCUUAACCCAGAACGGUCAGCUGAUACUGCGGGGCUAGAGUGCAGAAGGGGCAACUGGAAUUCUCGGUGUAGCGGUGAAAUGCGUAGAUAUCGAGAGGAACACCUGCGGCGAAGGCGGGUUGCUGGGCUGACACUGACGCUGACAGCGCGAAAGCUAGGGGAGCGAACGCG
rnacentral:rRNA from 1 species